UUUUUAUCGUAUCCUUUUUUUCUAUUUCUAUAAUCUCCGGAUCGUGGGGAACACACGGAGGAGACGCCAGUUUCGCCCCAGCUCGCUGCUCCCGACGCCCGAGCUCUACUCGCGCCUCGCCGCCGCCAUCGCCAUCUCCGAUGCACUUGCCGCCGCCGCCCUCUUGCUUUGCCGCUAUCGAGGGCCUUCCUGGCAUUGUCUCCCUCCUCCCCCUCCCCUCACCACCUCAGCUUGCCGUCGCCAUUAGCCGCAGCCGCAACCGUGGUUUUGAAGCUCCUCCUAUCGUAGCUCGCCGCCGCCAAGGGCCCUCCUAGUAUCAUCUCCCUCCCCCCUCCCAUCAGCCCCUCAGAUCGCCGUCGCUAUUGGCCGUGGCCGCGGUUUUGAAGGCCCAAUGGCGACUCUUCUUGCGACGCUAGCCGUUAGCUCGCCACCAGGCGCACCACCGCUGCUCCUGCCAACACUGCCGGCAGAUCCAGGCGCCCCUCCUCCAGAUCCCCUUCUGUAGCUCCUCGUUUGCACCAUCUCCUCAUCCUUCCCCUUCCCCUUCUUGAUUUUAUUUGAUGAUUCGAGUGCAGGAUGUGUUCCCUGCAAGCGUUUGAUUGUCGGCCCAGGUCAUGACCAAGAGCUCCUCUUCAACUGCAGCAAGUGUAUUCAUUAGGAGAUGCCUCUCGAGGGAUGUCGCUGUGCAGCCCCGAACCCGGCCUCCUACACGUGAGGUUGUGUGUAUGUAAAUCCCUGGUGUUUUCCAUCAAAGCACCCUCCUCUAGCUACACUCCAUGAUCACUCACAAAGGUCAUUUUUUUCUAAUAUCCCCAAUUUGUAGGUCUGACUUCUUAUGCUUGAGUUCUCAUCAUGUUUUUUUAUUCAUUACUUCAUUAGAUAAUUAGCCAUAACAAUAUAUCCUCCUGCAUGGAGACCUUGGGUUUUGUGCUCCCUUCUUAACACCAAGGUCAAGCCAAGUUGUAGCUUUUGCUCACAUUCGUGCACGCCGGACGAGUAGCGACGAGCAACCUGAUGCCAGUGUGCCUCCUGCUGCUGAUGCAGUAGUCUUAUUAAUAGUUCAAUUGCUGCAGAAACACUAAAAUUUAUCUCCUAUGUGCCCACCUUAUUGGUAUUUUCAUUCCAGGCAUGGUGCUUCUAGGACGAGGAUCUGAACCUAUCCAGCCUACCUAUGCUAAAAUUGAUUUCUCUGAUUGAACAUUGUAGUAUGAGAAUUUUCACAUGAUGUUGGUCUCAUCCUUGUCCUGUUUAUGUAGCCUAGAAUGAGCAGAAACAGAGCAGUAUCUGAUUGUUGAAUUGGUGUCCCUUCUUCCCUUCAUGGCUCUAAAGUUGAGUAUUUUGAUGUUUCUCCAGGAAGCCAUUUUAUUGUAGAAUAUUUUUAGAAGAAGCCAGCCAUUUUAUUGUAGACUAUUUUCAGAUGAAACAAUUUAACUGUAAAUUAUCAGGCUAUCUCUCCUAUUUUGGUUCUCAAGUGUCACCAACUAGAUAUGUUGGGAAAAAUAUACUCCAUCCCAUAAAAAGUGUCAUUCUAGAAUUCAAAUUUUGUCCCUUUGAAAGUGUUGUUUGCCUACCUAUAGGAACUGUACCAGCAACUGUCCACCUGCACUCACCCAUCACCCACUCACUCGCCAGCACGUAGCCUGUUAGUGGCAGCUUCUUCAUUUAUAGUACUUCAUCUUAUGUAAUUAUUGGAUAGUAGAGGCAUGCAGGCAUUUUACUCUUCUCCUUGAUACAAACACCAGCCUCCCAAAUGACCAUAUAUAUGGCACAGAGGUAGUAUUUGCUGCAGACAGUUUGAUAAUACUAGGAUUGUUCCAGAAAGCAGGUGGUCCUAGAAAUCCUAGCCUGCUACAUGAAAAUAAAAAUAUUAUUUAGAAACAUAUUCCGUAGUAUGAUUCAUCAAUAUAAUUGUCAUUGGGUGGAUUCACUUAUUCAGUUAACUACUGGUGCCGAGACACAAGAUUUAGUGCUAUGAUUAAUUUAUGAUAUUAUAAGUGCUGCUGUUGUGAUAUAGUAACUGUGGUGGAUUAAUUAGCAGCUCCUUUUUUUGCUUGACUCAUUGCGUAAGCAUGGAAAUUAAAACUUCAAACUUAAUCAUCACUGCAUCUAGAGUUUGGUCAAUUUCGAUUGAAGAUCCAGCUAUCCAAGUAGUAAUGCCUCGGAGACUUCACUUAUUCAGCUUAUGUCUUCUCUGACCUGUCAACCAAACUAACUCUUGUCAUGGCUUGGUGGGAUUUUGUAAUGACGGUUCUGUAUGAGAAGGGGUUGUAGCCUGAUGGCCAAGUAACACAUCAGUUUGUCCAUGUUUGUGUGCCUGAGGUAAUUUUGUCUUCCUCCUAUCUUCCCCUCAUGAACUCUGUCCCUUGUAAAAUUCAAGUGUUUCAUGCUCCAAAAGAUCAUCUUUUAUUAAAUGAGUCCUUUCUUUCAAAUGUCAUGCGGGUAUUUUUGUUCAGCGUAUGUUGGGAAAUUGCAACACAGGACCAUCAUGUGCUCUGCAUGCUAUUACUAAUUGAAUUCUGGACUCAAACAUGUUCUCAUGAGGUUAAAAAAUUGUAUAUGCUCUGAAUUGUCAAUUCAAAUUGACACUUUAAUUUCAUCUUUUUGUUUUUGAGAUGCCAUCAAAAUCAGAUAUGUGCUCUGCUUCCUUGGGUACUUCUGUUCUCUGGCUUUUUCCUUGUUGCGUGAAAGGAGCCUGCAGAUUGUUUACCUCACUUAGAUAUACCUUAUUUAUAUUUAUUGUUCACAGAUUACUACAGGUUGUCUUGUUUAAUCUAAUGAACUGCUAAUCAUAUUGUUGUUUUAUCUUCUAGCUAUUGCACUUGAGAAUGCUUCAGUACGAAUAUAUAAUGUGUUUCAGUAGGAACACUAGAUCCUGAUCUCAUAUCUUGUUGUUUAUUUUGUUUUUUCUUGUGCCUUCAGAAUAAACAGCUGUAGACACUCACAACAGUCUUAUUCUGUGAUCUAGUUUAUUAAUAUUUCUUAGUUAAGUAAACAUCUCCAAGUAUGUGGUUAGAAAUAAAUUUGGUCACAAGGGCUUGUGGAUGCUCAAUAAGCUAUUUCCCAAGGCACCAAAAACAACCUCAGCGCCUCCCUUUGGUCUGUUUCCACCGCCCCUCUUUUCUUCUUUCUUUUUAUGUUAGUUUUUUCCUCAACUUUUUGGUUGUCCCGGGAGAAGAGAGCGGUUCCUCCUAUUAUCUCGACUGGUAGAUGCAGUUCAUUUCUCAUGGUGCCUAUAGUCUACCUCUUCCGCAUGUUCACCGUGUAUUUGGCGGUGGCGGUACCAACUUCCAUCCUGCUCCUAUCAUCCAUUCAACUCCUCCUGCGACUCUCUUUUACCAAUUCCCUCAUUUGGCCUAUUCGAUGGCUACGACAGUCCCUUAUCUAUUUAGCUCCCCAGUAGCUUUUGACGACUCUUUUUGCUAAGUCCUCCCUAAACAAAAAAAAUCUGCUACCUUAAGCACAAAAUGUUUUUAUCAUUCUUUAUGUGUGUUAGUUUUUCAUAUUAUGCACUAUCCGUUCUAUGUUCAGUUAUUCUUUCAUAAGCCUCUACUGCCCUAUCCACAACUUCUGUUAUUUGACCCACAAAUAUAUUUUCUAGUGCCCUUAAUCAACUAAAGCCCUCUUGCAAAUACCUCUUUAUUCUACCGUCUUCAUAGUCGUUCUACAGGUAGUUGGUAGCCUAGUUGAACCUUUAAUCAUGUGACUAGAGAUGUAAGUGUGAUGGAUAUUUUGGGACAGCAGCAGGCUUGCAGUGUAUGUUAUCCACCCAAGUUCUACUGUUUUGAAGCUAGCAGAUACACCUGACCAUGUGAGACCUGUGCAGUAGAUAUUUUGGAAGGGGAUGCAGUAGUCUUAUGUCUGGCCAUCUUGCUUACUAUAGAGUAUUCACAACCAUAUAACACUUUUCUUCUUCCUAGUUUAGUAGCUUCCUUUCUUUUGUGCUCGCUUAACCUUGGGGAUGAACUGAUCUAGGAGGUUACAGGUUGAAGGGCAUUGUGAAUUUGUGAUGUAGACUGAGUCUUAUGAGUUACAGGUUUAAUCUCCAUUUGUGGUGUUAUUUGCUUAUUGUAGACAAUCCAUCUGUCCUCUGUUCGUACCGCUGGCCCUAGCGCCCUGCCCCUGUUGCUAAUGCCUCUCACUCAACAUGUCCUACAUGCUGAGGAUGCAUCCGGGAUUGUCUAGCUUGUGCUUUCCGUAGGGUGGUUUGUCCUGUUUGGUGCCCUGCUCUGUUUCUGCUCCUUAUACAGUGCUACUGCUGCAGUAUUCUUCAUAUACGGGAAUGUUACAAAGAUCAGUCUAGUAGCCACUAGAAUUGUACUAAAGUCACAAAUUUUCAAGUUACUUUGGUAACAAAUAAUGUUUGUCACCAACUUACUUUUAUGCUUUGAUCCUAGACAAACAUAGAAAAUGUUGCACAUACUAUGAUUUGACAAUUUUAUUGUUCUUGAUGAACAAAUACUUAACAGUUUUA